CCCCCCCUCAACAACAGAACCCCUGACCCUGGGGCCGUUAAAUUCACAAUUUUGGUAGAGGCACUCUUUCUCAUCAUAACUAUGCACUUAGUAAGUCUAUUUAAUACCCAGGAGCAGAGAAGAAGAUUUUCAAAGAAUUCAUGUAUUUUCACUAUAUAAUCAAUAGAGCCCUGCCCUAACACCAAACCCCUGACCCUGAGGCUAUAAAAUUCACAAUUUUGGUAGAGGCACUCUAGCUCAUCAUAACUAUGUACUUAGUUAGUUUAUUUAAUACCCAGGAGCAGAGAAGAAGAUUUUCAAACAAGAGGCCCACGGGUCUUAUAGGUCACCUGAGUAUUGUGUAACAACUUUCAAACAAUCAAAUAUGGAUCAUGUUUUAAACCAGAGGCCAUGAAAUUCACAAUUCACAAUUUUGAAAGAGGCAUCAUUGCUCAUCACAAUUAAAAAUACUCUACUUACUCAAUACCCAGAGGUAGAUCAGAGUUACAAAGAGAAAAUGUUCUUCCACUUUAUAACCAGUUCUGCACCUCACCCCAAAAGAACCACUGACCCUGGGGCCACAUAAUUCAAAAUUUUGCAAAUUUUAUCAUAAAAUGGUUGAUUAAUACCAAAGAGCAGGUUUCAAACCAUUAAUUUAUUUUCAGAAUAUGUACCCCCCCCCCCUUGGGGCAUAAAAAUAAGCAUUUUGCUAUAUGCACCUUUCUUCAUCAUAAAUAUAUAUAUUUGGAUCACUGGCAUAAAAUUCACGAUUUUGGAAAAGACUUGCUCAUCAUAACUGUGUGCUUAGUUAGUUUAUUUAAUACCCAGAAGCAGAGAAGAAGAUUUUCAAAGAAUAUAUGCAUUUUCACUAUAUAAUCAAUAGAGCCCCGCCCUAACACCAGAACCCCUGACCCUGGGGCCAUGAUUUUCACAAUUUCGGAUAAGGCACUCUUGCUCAUCAUAACUAUGUGCUUAGUUAGUUUAUUUAAUACCCAGAAGCAGAGAAGAAGAUUUUCAAAGAAUAGAUGCAUUUUCACUAUAUAAUCAAUAGAGCCCCGCCCUAACACCAGAACCCCUGACCCUGGGGCCAUAAAAUUCACAAAUCUGAAAGAGGCACUCUUGCUUAUCAUAACUAUGUACUUAGAUAGUUUAUUUAAUACCCAGGAGCAGAGAAGAAAAUUUUCAAAGAAAUAAUGCAUUUUCACUAUAUAAUCUAUAUAGCCCAGCCCUAGCACUAGAACCCCUGACCCUGGGGCCAUGAUUUUCACAAUUUUGGUAGACAAUUCAAUGCUCAUUACAUUCAUGGUAACAGUUUGCCUGCUUGAUGUCCAGGAGUAAAGAAGAAAAUUUUUAAAGAUUGUAAUAAUUUUAGUGGUUUUGGCCCCACCCUUCAGGCCCCAGGGGGGGCGGGGACCAUGAAAUUCACAAUUUGCAUUCCCCUUCACCCAUAGAUGCUGUAUACUAAAUUUUGUUGAAAUUGGUUCAGUGGUUUCAGAGAAGAAGCUGAAAAUGUUCAAAUGUUAACACACAACGCACGACGACGGAUGAAAACGGAUAGCAAUAGGUCACCUGAGUUACUCAGGUGACCUAAAAAUUAA